GCAUUAAGAUUAAAAUUUCAAAAUUCGAAAAGUAUAGGGGCUUUUGAAUGAUCCGAUUAGAGAAUAUGAAUCAAAUCUACGAUUGUACGCAUAGAACAUGACUAGUAAUUGAAUUUAAUUGCUUAUGUUUGAGUUGGCAGGGGUGAAUCAAAAAAUUCUUUUAAGGGAGACGAAAUUUAGUAUAAAUUUUUGAGAGAUUAAAAAGUAAUUUUAUCAUUUAUUAAUUUAUAAUUUUAGCCUUUUUAAGGGACUAAAAAGGAUUUUUUUUUCAUUUGUGAGACAGUCAAUUUUUACCAUAUAUUAAUUUAUAUUUUUAUUAUUUUAGAGAGGACUAAACAGAUAAUUUUUCAUUGGAGGGGCCAAGGUCCCUGCCGGCCUCUUAAAUUCACCCUAUAGGUUUGGACUAAAACUUCAAAAUUCAAAAAGUCAUUGGAGGGGCCAAACUCCCUGCCGGCCUCUUAAAUUCACCCUAUAGGUUUGGACUAAAACUUCAAAAUUCAAAAAGUAAAGGAUUAAGAAUUGACACAGGGACUAUAAUCGACCAUUUCAAAAAGUACAGGGACUAAUAGAAAAUUUUAACCGUCAAAAUUUCCUUCGAAAAAAUCAAUGCAACUAAAUAGUAAAUAACGU
rnacentral:lncRNA from 1 species